rnacentral:rRNA from 1 species
GAUGAACGCUGGCGGCGUGCCUAAUACAUGCAAGUCGAGCGAACAGACGAGGAGCUUGCUCCUCUGACGUUAGCGGCGGACGGGUGAGUAACACGUGUUUAACCUACCUAUAAGCCUGGGAUAAAUACGGGAAACCGGAGCUAAUACCGGAAAAUAUAUUGAAUCGCAUGGUUCAAUAGUGAAUGACGGUUUUGCUGUCACUUAUAGAUGGAUCCGCACCGCAUUAACUAGUUUGUAAGGUAACUGCUUACCAAGACAACGAUGCGUACCCGACCUGAGAGCUUUCUCGGCCACACUGGAACUGAGCCACAGUCCAUAAUCCUACGGGACGGCACAGUGGUGAAUCUUCCGUAAUGGCCGAACGCGUAACGGAGCAACGCCGCGUGAGUUAUGAAGAUCUUAUGAUCUUAAAUCUCUGUUAUUCGUGAUGUACAAAUGUGUAAGUAACUAUGCACGUCUUGACGGUACCUAAUCAGAAAGCCACGGCUAACUACGUG